rnacentral:tRNA from 1 species
GCGCCUGUAGCUCAACGGAUAGAGCACUGGGCUUCGGACCCAGGGGUUGCAGGUUCGAAUCCUGUCGGGCGCGCCA